rnacentral:rRNA from 3 species
CAUUACUGAGUUUACGCUCUACAACCCUUUGUGAACAUACCUAUAACUGUUGCUUCGGCGGGUAGGGUCUCCGUGACCCUCCCGGCCUCCCGCCCCCGGGCGGGUCGGCGCCCGCCGGAGGAUAACCAAACUCUGAUUUAACGACGUUUCUUCUGAGUGGUACAAGCAAAUAAUCAAAACUUUUAACAACGGAUCUCUUGGUUCUGGCAUCGAUGAAGAACGCAGCGAAAUGCGAUAAGUAAUGUGAAUUGCAGAAUUCAGUGAAUCAUCGAAUCUUUGAACGCACAUUGCGCCCGCCAGCAUUCUGGCGGGCAUGCCUGUUCGAGCGUCAUUUCAACCCUCAAGCUCUGCUUGGUGUUGGGGCCCUACAGCUGAUGUAGGCCCUCAAAGGUAGUGGCGGACCCUCCCGGAGCCUCCUUUGCGUAGUAACUUUACGUCUCGCACUGGGAUCCGGAGGGACUCUUGCCGUAAAACCCCCAAUUUUCCAAAGGUUGACCUCGGAUCAGGUAGGAAUACCCGCUGAACUUAAGCAUAUCAA